rnacentral:rRNA from 1 species
AGGACGAACGCUGGCGGCGUGCUUAACACAUGCAAGUCGAGCGGAAAGGCCCUUCGGGGUACUCGAGCGGCGAACGGGUGAGUAACACGUGAGUAAUCUGCCCCUAGCUCUGGGAUAGCUCCGGGAAACCGGGAUUAAUACCAGAUACGACCACUUUAGACAUCUUCUGUGGUGGAAAGAACUUCGGCUAGGGAUGAACUCGCGGCCUAUCAGCUUGUUGGUGAGGUAACGGCUCACCAAGGCGACGACGGGUAGCCGGCCUGAGAGGGCGACCGGCCACACUGGGACUGAGACACGGCCCAGACUCCUACGGGAGGCAGCAGUGGGGAAUAUUGCGCAAUGGGCGAAAGCCUGACGCAGCGACGCCGCGUGGGGAUGAAGGCCUUCGGUUGUAACCCUUUCAGCAGGACGAAGCGAAGUGACGGUACUGCAGAAGAAGCGCCGGCUAACUACGCGCCAGCAGCCGC